GUUUGAUCCUGGCUCAGAUUGAACGCUGGCGGCAUGCUUUACACAUGCAAGUCGAACGGCAGCACGGACUUCGGUCUGGUGGCGAGUGGCGAACGGGUGAGUAAUACAUCGGAACGUACCCAGUAAUGGGGGAUAACUAUCCGAAAGGAUAGCUAAUACCGCAUACGCCCUACGGGGGAAAGAGGGGGAUCGCAAGACCUCUUGUUAUUGGAGCGGCCGAUGGCUGAUUAGCUAGUUGGUGAGGUAAAGGCUCACCAAGGCGACGAUCAGUAGCGGGUCUUAGAGGACGAUCCGCCACACUGGAACUGAGACACGGUCCAGACUCCUACGGGAGGCAGCAGUGGGGAAUCUUGGACAAUGGGCGCAAGCCUGAUCCAGCAAUGCCGCGUGCGUGAAGAAGGCCUUCGGGUUGUAAAGCGCUUUUGUCAGGGAGCAAAAGGUGGUGGCUAAUAUCCAUCGCUCUUGAGAGUACCUGAAGAAUAAGGACCGGCUAACUACGUGCCAGCAGCCGCGGUAAUACGUAGGGUCCAAGCGUUAAUCGGAAUUACUGGGCGUAAAGCGUGCGCAGGUGGUUUGUUAAGCACGAUGUGAAAUCCCCGAGCUCAACUUGGGAAUUGCAUUGUGAACUGGCUAACUAGAGUACGGCAGAGGGGGGUGGAAUUCCCACGUGUAGCAGUGAAAUGCGUAGAGAUGUGGAGGAACACCGAUGGCGAAGGCAACCCCCUGGGCUGAUACUGACACUCAUGCACGAAAGCGUGGGGAGCAAACAGGAUUAGAUACCCCUGGUAGUCCACGCCCUAAACGAUGUCAACUAGUUGUUGGGCUUUUCGGAGCUUAGUAACGCAGCUAACGCGUGAAGUUGACCGCCUGGGGAGUACGGUCGCAAGACUAAAACUCAAAGGAAUUGACGGGGGCCCGCACAAGCGGUGGAUGAUGUGGAUUAAUUCGAUGCAACGCGAAAAACCUUACCUGGUCUUGACAUGUACGGAAUCCUUUAGAGAUAGAGGAGUGCCUUCGGGAACCGUAACACAGGUGCUGCAUGGCUGUCGUCAGCUCGUGUCGUGAGAUGUUGGGUUAAGUCCCGCAACGAGCGCAACCCUUGCCACUAGUUGCUACCAUUCAGUUGAGCACUUUAGUGGGACUGCCGGUGACAAACCGGAGGAAGGUGGGGAUGACGUCAAGUCCUCAUGGCCCUUAUGACCAGGGCUUCACACGUCAUACAAUGGUCGGUACAGAGGGUCGCUAACCCGCGAGGGGGUGCCCAUCUCACAAAACCGAUCGUAGUCCGGAUUGCACUCUGCAACUCGAGUGCAUGAAGUCGGAAUCGCUAGUAAUCGCGGAUCAGCAUGUCGCGGUGAAUGCGUUCCCGGGCCUUGUACACACCGCCCGUCACACCAUGGGAGUGGGUUUCACCAGAAGUAGGCAGGCUAACCGUAAGGAGGCCGCUUACCACGGUGGGAUUCAUGACUGGGGUGAAGUCGUAACAAGGAGCCGUAA
rnacentral:rRNA from 1 species